rnacentral:rRNA from 1 species
GAGGAGAGCUUGCUCUCUGAUUCAGCGGCGGACGGGUGAGUAAUGCCUAGGAAUCUGCCUGGUAGUGGGGGACAACGUUUCGAAAGGAACGCUAAUACCGCAUACGUCCUACGGGAGAAAGUGGGGGAUCUUCGGACCUCACGCUAUCAGAUGAGCCUAGGUCGGAUUAGCUAGUUGGUGGGGUAACGGCUCACCAAGGCGACGAUCCGUAACUGGUCUGAGAGGAUGAUCAGUCACACUGGAACUGAGACACGGUCCAGACUCCUACGGGAGGCAGCAGUGGGGAAUAUUGGACAAUGGGCGAAAGCCUGAUCCAGCCAUGCCGCGUGUGUGAAGAAGGCCCUCGGGUCGUAAAGCACUUUAAGCUGGGAGGAAGGGUUGUAACCUAAUACGUUGCAGCUUUGACGUUACCAGCAGAAUAAGCACCGGCUAACUCUGUGCCAGCAGCCGCGGUAAUACAGAGGGUGCAAGCGUUAAUCGGAAUUACUGGGCGUAAAGCGCGCGUAGGUGGCUUGGUAAGUUGAAUGUGAAAUCCCCGGGCUCAACCUGGGAACUGCAUCCAAAACUGCCUGGCUAGAGUACGGUAGAGGGUGGUGGAAUUUCCUGUGUAGCGGUGAAAUGCGUAGAUAUAGGAAGGAACACCAGUGGCGAAGGCGACCACCUGGACUGAUACUGACACUGAGGUGCGAAAGCGUGGGGAGCAAACAGGAUUAGAUACCCUGGUAGUCCACGCCGUAAACGAUGUCAACUAGCCCUUGGGGUCCUUGAGACUUUAGUGGCGCAGCUAACGCAAUAAGUUGACCGC